UCCCUGGUGGUCUAGUGGUUAGGAUUCAGAGCUUUCACCUCUGCAGCCCAGGUUCAGUCCCUGGUCUGGGAA
rfam:Sus scrofa chromosome 5.